rnacentral:rRNA from 1 species
CCUACGGGUGGCUGCAGUGAGGAAUAUUGCACAAUGGGGGAAACCCUGAUGCAGCAACGCCGCGUGAGUGAAGAAGUAUUUCGGUAUGUAAAGCUCUGUCAGCAGGGAAGAAGGUGCCGAUACCUGAAUAAGAAGCACCUGCUAACUACGUGACAGCAGGCGCGGUAAUACGGAGGGGGCAAGCGUUAUCCGGAUUUACGGGGUGUAAAGGGAGCGGAGAUGGUGGGACAAGUCUGAAGUGAAUGCGCGGGGCUCAACCCCGGGACUGCCUUGGAAACUGCCUGACUGGAGUGCUGGAGAGGGAAGCGGAAUGCCUGGUGUAGCGGUGAAAUGCGUAGAUAUUAGGAAGAACACCAGUGGCGAAGGCGGCUUGCUGGACAAUAACUGACGUUGAGGCGCGAAAGCGUGGGGAGCAAACAGGAUUAGAUACCGCAGUAGUC